UGCAUCCAGGGAGAUCAUUGCUGCCU
rnacentral:piRNA from 1 species